CAAUAGCAUAUAUUAACGUUGUUGCAGUUGAAAAGCUCGUAGUUGAACUUUUGGUAGGAGCGACCUGGCCUUGGGCGCAUGCCCUUGUUUGCCGUGUGUCGUAUCUGGCCAUCCUUUUCCGUUUCGGCGGGAAUCCUUUACUGUGAGUAAACUGGAGUGCUCAAAACAAGACGUUUGUUUGGUACAUUAAAGCAUGGAAUAAUAAGAUAGGACCUGGUUACUAUUUUGUUGGUUUGCAUAGCUAGGUAAUGAUUAACAGGGACAGUUGGGGGUAUUCGUAUUUAAUUGUCAGGGGUGAAAUUCUUGGAUUUAUGAAAGACGAACGACUGCGAAAGCAUUUACCAAGGAUGUUUUCAUUA
rnacentral:rRNA from 1 species